CCCGCUACCGCCCCAUGAACCACUUGUCAUCGUGCUCCGAAGGCACCAAGGCAACAUGUAGGAGAAAUUGUAUAUAUAUACAUGUGUAUGUGUGAAUAUAAUUAAUGGUGGUUGUGAGACAUUCGAUGAUAUAUAAAUAUGCUCGGUUCUACGAGAAAAUCUAUUUAUAUAUAUGCAUAACGUGUACAAUAUGUAGUAUCGUAAAAUACCAGCAAACGAAUAAGAAUUAAAUGGAAAACACAAAAUUAAAGGAAAAAUAAAAAAUAAAACCAAAACCCCCAAACAUUUAGUACCGGUUGGUGUUACCAACCGGUACUAAUGGUCUACCCGCACCUGGGCCUGGCUCGUGCCACGUGGUGGCACUUUAGCGCCGGUUCGUGACGAACCGGUAGUAAAGGGGGGGCUUUAGUCCCCACUCUUUAGUGCCAGUUGUAGAACCGGCACUAAAGGCCCUUACGAACCGGCGCUAAAACCCGGUUCUGCACUAGUGUGUGGUAGGUAGCCGCCGGGUGCCUUUGCCGUGAUCCUCUGGAUGACCACGCAUCUCUGUGUCUCUCCUCUAGUGCUGCACUGGGCUUCAGUUGGCUCACUCUGGCCCUUGAACUCGAGCGUUGGGGCAUUAGUCAGUAGAAUGACAGGGACUAAUCUGUAAAAGAAAUCUUCACAAACAAGCCCCUGGCUGGAAAACAGAAAGCGCCUUUUCUGAAAAUACGCUUUCCAGAAAGGAAAACGUAUUCUGGCCCGAAGAAGAAGUAGAGUACGUUUUCAUUAACUGAAAGCGCAUUCUGGCAAAGCCGUCUUCACGUAUCCACGUCAGCGAGCCGACUAGGACACUGACGUGCGGGGCCCGCCUUAUCUUCUCUCUUCUCCCGCUUCUUCUUCCUCCUGUCGGUCGGGACAGAGGCCAGGCCAAGCCGCGCGGCUCCGGCGCGCGCCCAGCCGGCUCCAGCCUCCUCCGGUGGAGCUCGGACCACCGGAGUGCUCCCCGAGGCGCGGUGCAUCCAUUCACCCCCUCCACGGACUCCAAAGACAAUGGGAGCGACGAGAACCUUGAGCAUGGCGGACGGCGGCGUCGGUUGGUUUUGGGGGAAGGUGCUACGGUCAUGGAGAAGAGGGAGGAGUUGCGGGGAGGCUCUCGGGUGGUGCUGCGGGUUCCUGGUGGUGGUUAGAGGAAGAGGGGAGGCCGGGAUUGCUCGGAUUUUAGAGGACACAGGCGGCGGCCAUGAUAGGCAUUGGAGGACAGGAGGGCUCCUUGAGCUCGAAUUGGUGGUCGGGGAGGCCUAGAGGAGGGAGUUGAGGC
rnacentral:rRNA from 1 species